UCUCAGUUCGGAUUGGAGGCUGAAACCCGCCUCCAUGAAGUUGGAUUCGCUAGUAAUCGCGCAUCAGCCAUGGCGCGGUGAAUACGUUCCCGGGCCUUGUACACACCGCCCGUCAAGCCAUGGAAGCUGGGGGUGCCUGAAGUUCGUGACCGCAAGGAGCGACCUAGGGCAAAACCGGUAACUGGGGCUAAGUCGUAACAAGGUAGCCGUACCGGAAGGUGCGGCUGGAACACCUCCUUUCUGGAGC
rnacentral:rRNA from 1 species